rnacentral:rRNA from 1 species
GCCUCAUUAAAAGUAUAUGAGGUGAGACCUGCUCAAUGGCUACAAAUAAAAAAUAAUAGUAGUUAAAUAGCCGCGGUAACUCUGACCGUGAUAAAGUAGCAUAAUCACUUGUCAUUUAAUUGGUGACUAGAAUGAAUGGUUACACGAAUCUUUAACUGUCUCAGUAGUGGGGUUAUUAAAAUUGAAAUAGUAGUGAAGAUGCUAUUUAUAAAUUGUAAGACGAAAAGACCCUAUCGAGCUUUACUAAAUACCUAGAUUUAAAAUUAUAACACUAUUUUACAAAUAAGCACUCUAGGUUAAUUAGUUUGGUUGGGGCGACCACCUCUAAAACAGUAUCAGAGGAAAUCAUAAGGUUAAUAAAAAUAUAAAUUGCCUUACUGUCUACAUACUCGUUAACCAGUUACUAAAAAGUAGGAUAUAAUGACCCGUUAAGUUAUUUAUUAAACUCAACGAUUAUGAAAAAAGUUACCGUAGGGAUAACAGGGUAAUAUUUCUAGAGAGUUCAUAUCGAUAGAAAUGUUUGCCACCUCGAUGUUGAAUUGUGAUAUCCUAAAGGUGUAGCAGCUUUUAAGGGUUG